rnacentral:pre_miRNA from 1 species
GUUUGUGGAUAGUGUUCAAAACCAAGGACUGGUGUGUUUGCUUGUUUGUGGAUAGUGUUCAAAACCAAGGACUGGUGUGUUUGCCU